rnacentral:tRNA from 1 species
AGUCCCGAGGUGUUUCCACGCCGGAUUGCAAACCCGGAGAAGUAGGCUAGAUACCUGCCGGGGCUU